UACGGCCACAUCACGUUGAAACACCGGUUCUCGUACGAUCACCGAAGUUAAGCAACGUCAAGCCUGGUUAGGAGUUACCACUUCGGAAUACCAGGUACUGUAAG